rnacentral:misc_RNA from 1 species
GAUGAAGAACGUAGCGAAAUGCGAUACGUAAUGUGAAUUGCAGAAUUCAGUGAAUCAUCGAGUCUUUGAACGCACAUUGCGCCCCCUGGUAUUCCGGGGGGCAUGCCUGUCCGAGCGUCAUUGCUGCCCUCAAGCACGGCUUGUGUGUUGGGCCUCCGUCCUCCUCCCGGGGGACGGGCCCGAAAGGCAGCGGCGGCACCGCGUCCGGUCCUCGAGCGUAUGGGGCUUCGUCACCCGCUCUUGUAGGCCCGGUCGGCGCUUGCCGACACAUCAAUCUUUUUUCCAGGUUGACCUCGGAGCAGGUAGGGAUACCCGCUGAACUUAAGCAUAUCAAUAAGCGGAGGA